UACGGAGGAUGCGAGCGUUAUCCGGAUUUAUUGGGUUUAAAGGGUGCGCAGGCGGCGUGUCAAGCAAGCGGUAAAAUUUCGGGGCUCAACCCCGACAAGCCGUUGAAACUGGCUUGCUAGAGUGGGCGAGAGGUAUGCGGAAUGCGUGGUGUAGCGGUGAAAUGCAUAGAUAUCACGCAGAACCCCGAUUGCGAAGGCAGCAUACCGGUGCACAACUGACGCUCAGGCACGAAAGCGUGGGUAUCGAACAGG
rnacentral:rRNA from 1 species